rnacentral:tRNA from 3 species
CGGGUGUAGUUCAAUGGUAGAACAUCAGCUUCCCAAGCUGAAUACGAGGGUUCGAUUCCCUUCACCC